UGUUCUCAGUACACUAUCUCUCAAGACAUUGCGAUCUGACCAGUGGAAAAACAGGAUGUGGUUAACUUUAUGGCUGUAAACGAUACUGACAUCUGUAGUGGUUAAAUAACUGCCUGCAUAUUGCCACGUAGAUAAUGCUGUUGUACUAUGUAUGUACGUGAUGUUAUACAAUAGUUAAAGGUCAUAGGCUGUUUAUGGAGAGAAAAUAAUCCACGCCUCCAAGGGGAGGUAAAAAAAAAGCGGAGACGAGAAUUACGAGGGGGGCUCCGAAAUUGAACUCUGGUCUCACCGUGUCUCACUGUGUCGUGAUAUCUACAUCUGGUGACCUCGACGUGAUUCAGAACAAACACCCUCGUACCCACUGGCAGGAUCAGCCAACGGUGCACCUCAGCGUACAGCUCCCAUUCGUAGCUGCAGUACUGGCAGAAGUGACCAGGGAGAAACCGGUUCCGGCAUUUUCAGCAGUCGGAGUCUCUACCUGCCCCGCGGGUGCAGUUUCGGCAACUACCAAAUCCAGAGUGGAAAGGCCCAGUUCCGCUUAUAACGUGGGGUCGAGGUUACGCGGCUGUGUCUACGCCUCACGGUCCUGUGUGGGUACCUGCUAGGUGUAUCCGGCCCUGGAAAGACGAUGUCCUGGCACGAUAAUCUUAAGAAUCCCAUCCCUAAUUUUUCUCUGCAACUUCAGGAUACUGGGAUGUCUUCCAGGAAGCGUGGUCGGAAUGUUCCGCAACCUCCCGUGACUUGGGGCCAAAUAAAGAACUUAGCAACACAAGCAGAAAAAGCAAUGGAACAAGCCGGGGUGGACAAGACAACUGAGAAUACCAUUCUUGCUUUAAUUGCGUCUUUAAAUACAAAUUCUAUUUUUGUACUUUGCAUUUGUUGGAUUUUAGGAAGCGCCGGGGCUGACAGGUUGGGGCAGGAGUUGGGGAUGCGGUUUCAACACAAUAUCUGGGUUCAGUUAGCAAGAAUGACAAAUGUGAGUGACUUUUGCAUGACUGAACAUGUACAGGAAAUGGGUAUGUUGGGAACAUGUUUAAUACCCGUAUGCAAAGCACCUGGGGAUAUUGGGAACAUUACAGGACUUGGGCGGUUCAUGAAUACUUCAGAGAUUAAAUAUCAUACUGUUUCGAAUUGGGGAACUCCAACCUUCCAGCUGCCUGUUAAUGCUUUUCAAUUAUUUACAUCACAUGUUGCAAAUUCCAUUAAUAAUACGUGUGCUCGGAUGGUUAAUUGUAGUCGACAUAAGGUGCAG